GAUGAACGCUGGCGGCGUGCCUAACACAUGCAAGUCGAGGGGCAACAUGAUUUUAGCUUGCUAAAAUUGAUGGCGACCGGCGCACGGGUGAGUAACGCGUAUGUAACUUGCCUACCAGAGGGGGAUAGCCCGGCGAAAGUCGGAUUAAUACCGCAUAAAACAGGGGUUCCGCAUGGAAAUAUUUGUUAAAGGAUUACCGCUGGUAGAUAGGCAUGCGUUCCAUUAGAUAGUUGGUGGGGUAACGGCCUACCAAGGCGACGAUCAGUAGCCGACCUGAGAGGGUGACCGGCCACAUUGGGACUGAGACACGGCCCAAACUCCUACGGGAGGCAGCAGUGGGGAAUAUUGCACAAUGGGCGAAAGCCUGAUGCAGCGACGCCGCGUGAGCGAAGAAGUAUUUCGGUAUGUAAAGCUCUAUCAGCAGGGAAGAAAAUGACGGUACCUGACUAAGAAGCACCGGCUAAAUACGUG
rnacentral:rRNA from 1 species